CAAUCGAAUUCGGAGCUAGCUGGUUCUCCCCGAAAUGUGUUUAGGCGCAGCGGUUAAUAUUAUAGCUUAGAGGUAAAGCACUGUUUCGGUGCGGGCUGGUAAUUCGGUACCAAAUCGAGGCAAACUCUGAAUACUAAGUGAACAGUUAACCAGUAAGACUGUGGGGGAUAAGCUUCAUAGUCAAGAGGGAAACAGCCCAGAUCACCAGUUAAGG
rnacentral:rRNA from 1 species